rnacentral:rRNA from 1 species
UACGUAGGGGGCAAGCGUUGUUCGGAAUUACUGGGCGUAAAGCGCGUGUAGGCGGCUCUUCAAGUCAGGCGUGAAAGCCCCGAGCUUAACUCGGGAACUGCGCUUGAUACUGUCGAGCUAGAGUGUGGAAGGGGCGAUUGGAAUUCCGUGUGUAGCGGUGAAAUGCGUAGAUAUACGGAGGAACACCAGAGGCGAAGGCGGAUCGCUGGGCCAACACUGACGCUGAGACGCGAAAGCUAGGGGAGCAAACGGG